UUUCUUUCUAUCUUAUGACAAUGGUCACAACUGCUGAUAGCUUAUGCUUUCUGGUUAUGCAUCAAAAGGUCAAAUCUUCUCUGUAGGAAAUAUUUCUAGCAAUUUUCUUCUAUAUUAUUGAUCAAGUAAUGGUAUUCAUUCUGCUUGAAAUAUCUUAUUAGACUUCACACAUAGGGAACUAAUGUUUAAGAGUCUUCACAUGCUAAAAUACUACUCACUUAUUACAGAAUGAUGGCUUAACUUAAACACCAUAACUUUCCUGUUUAUUAUAUUGUUUUUCGAUCUCUGAUAUAUCCGUUUUCUGCGUGCAUGCAAUAUUUGAUAUCUACCAUUCUAUAAUAACUCUCGUAAAUUUAACAAAAGUUUGCGUCUCUUGAGCAAUUCUUAUAGGGGUGGUCGUGUGAAUAAACCAGGGAGCAUGGCAGCCAUCUUUGAACAUUUCAACUGUCUUAACAAGUAUAGGUUUCUUACUAAGUGAGCCAAAUCCUGAUGAUGGGUUAAUGCAUGACUUGGUGAGUUAAUAUUCUUGUACUGUGGUUACUUAUACUAGAACCUAUCCUGUUUGAUUGUAAUGUGCUCGUAAUCUCUAUUGUUCGCAGAGAACAGAGUACAAAUACAAUCGGCAAGCAUUUAACUACAAGGCAAGAUCAAUGACUCAAAAGUACGCCACGGCUGGAGCAAGUGAAUUUGGGAGUCAUGACCAAAGAAAUCCAAACUCUUACAAAUGAAAGAGAUGGAAUGUUCAUUCUGCUGGAUGUGCCACCAAGAUUAAUCCACAUGCACCAGCUGUACAUAUGCUAUAUUUUUAUUUUCUCAUUUUCAGAAUUUGCUAAAACUAAUUUCGUACAAUUGGUAAGGGGCAUAUAUUUUAGUGAUGUGAUUCCUCUUUUCUUUGUAAUUAACAAUGUAAUUUUAUAUGAAUGUGGGUUAUUUUGAUAUAUUUUUGGAUGUGUAUGUGUAUAUACACACAUGUAUGCUAGUUUUUGAAAUAAUAGUUACUAUACAAUUACUAUAGUGAAAAUUUUAAAUUUUUAUCUAAUUAUGUGUGUUAAAAUUUCUCAGUAGGAUAGGGAAAUUGUCAAAUAAUUGAAUGAGCAUGAGCGAAGGAAAAUUUAACAAUUAGCGUAGGGUAAACCGGUCGUUGAAAUGAAAGAUAACAACCGGAAUUUUUUCCAUCGCUAAAGGAUCUUUAACGACCGGAUUCAAAAUUCGAUCGUUAACUUUACCGAAUUCAAAAUCCGGUCGUUAACUUUCAACGACGGAGCUUUUAGUGACCGAUGACGACCAAAUAUUUUCCAGUCGUUAUUGACCUAUAACGACCUGAUUUGGACUUUUGUAUGUUUUUAAAUACAUUUGAGUUAUUAUCUACUGUUUAAAUCCGGUCGUUAACUUUCAACGACGAAGCUUUUAGCGACCGAUGACGACAAAUAUUUUCCAAUCGUUAUUGACCUAUAACGACCUAAUUUGGACUUUUGUAUGUUUUUAAAUACAUUUGAGUUAUUAUCUACUGUUUUAAAAGCUUUCUCUAUAAUGCAUCUUUAUUGUUGCUUUAUAUUGAACUGAGUUGAGUACUUCUGAGUUUGAGUAUCUUUGAGUUGAGUUGAGUUGAGUUGAGGUGAGUAUGUUCUUCCUUUUUAUCAGUUCAAGCUUAUGGCUGUGCUUUAGAGUUUCCCUUGCAUGCUCGUACAUUCCAUGUACUGACGCCAUUUGACCUGCAUCUUUCAUGAUGCAGAUACAGGUAACCAGGGUCAUCAACGACAACAGGCGCUCCGUUGAUACCAUUUGCAGUUCCAGAGUUGCUUUGGUGAGCCUCCUUGCUUCCGAAGGAUUUCGCUUUUAUUUUCAGUCUUAUUAAGAUGUUGUGGGUCUUGUCCCGACGUCUAUCAUAGUUAUUAGAGGCUUCAUAGAUAGUAGUAGUUGAGGAGUCUUUUUUAUUUACUUUGUGAUGUUUAAAGACUUGAGUUGAACAAUUAUUUUAUUGAGUAUUUCAGACUACAUUGAGUUAAACUAAUUUUAGUAAUGAUGUCUUUAUGAGUUGAGUUACAUUUGAGUUUCCUUUAUUGUUGAGUAAGUCUUCCAUUGAGAGUUGAGUCAGGGCAAAGGUUCGCUUGGGGCCAUAUAAACUAAUUUUAGUAAUGGGUUGUUUUGAAAGCAAGUUUUAAUUUCUUUACCGAUUUGGCACCACAAUUAACUCAAGUUGGCCAUAAAAGCAAAAAAUCAUCCAAUCUUAUGCAAAGUGUAAUCAUCACUAUAUAUGUAGAAUAAAUAUACAUAAUUCCAAUUACUAGUUAAUAAUAACGAGAGGGGGGGAAAAUAGAAAACAAAUUUUUUUAUUCCCAUGCCACUAUUAAGCUAUUACUUAGCUUCAUGAACAAUAAGUUAGUAAUAUUCAUAUUUAUUUGUACUACAACUGUCCUUAAUUAGUACAAUUUCUUAAAUUUGGAGUAGUUAUUGAUUUAUUGUCGUCUCUAAAGCAGCUUCAAAAACUAAACUGUGUAGAUAGUUGUGUUUGUAUCCUCGAGAAGAUGAAGUUUGUAACACAAAUCAAGCUUAUCAUCAGUUGACUUUUCUAUACUGUUAAAUGAAGUUACAAUUGAUGGCAACAAUGCACAAACAUAAAAAGAAAAAGAAAUUAGAAUUGCAAAUUGGAGCAAGUUUUUUACCUUAUAAAUAAUGAAAUUAAAUGCUCAAAUAAUCACUUCUACCACUUCAAAGAAAUUGCAUUUCCAAUCUUGAAACAAUGUUCUAGAAUCAAGGGAGUAUAUAUCAAUUGAGACAAUUUGUAGUUGCGAGUUGGUUCUUCAAUAACUAAAACAGAUUUCCAACAACAGAGUAGCAAUAAGAUGAAUAUGGAAGAAUGAGAGACUUAAAGAUUAGAUUUUUGUCACACUACUUCAAACUUCCUACCCUUGUAAAAAAAAGAGAGUCCCUCUUAAUUCCAUACUUCCUAAACUGCAAAUAAAGUGAACUUCUUACCAUCCAAAUAAAAAAUUUUAGACACAAUAUUUUAUUUUUUUUAUGACAAGGGAAAUUCGCGAUCGCUAUCCUUUGGGUACGCACAGGGUAAAACUCUGCUCCUAUGGAAUAGCUUAGAAACAUAUGGAUAUGAAAAUAAUUCAAGUGCAAGCUGAUGGGGAUAAAACUUCGUCUCUUCCUUUUUUCUGCGUUAAAUUGAAAGAUAAUCCAAAAAGCUAAUUCAGUUCUUUAUAAACUUAAUGGUCUUAAAAUCGAGUAAUGUAUCAUAAUCUAAUUUGUCGGGUCCGUGCUCAGUUUUCCUACCUUUAGUACCAAAUCUCCAUAAGCAACCAUAUAUUAUAUUGAAGUUUGGUUCGUUUUAUUUUUUUGUGAUUGAUUUGUUUUUUGCUUUUCGAAAAAGGGCAAAAAAAUAUUCUUGAACUAUAGGAAAAAGUGUAAAAAUACCCUUAUCUUUUGGUCUAAAAAUACUCUUCUAUUAAUCUUUUGAUCUAAAAAUACUCUUCCAUUCAUAUUUUGGCUCAUUUAUACCUUUGAAGCUAACAAUCCUCUCUUUAUUUUAUUUUUAAAAAAUUAUUUAUUAUGUGCCAUUUUCUUAUUGGAGGUAAUAUAACCCACUUCUACUAGAUUUUUUCUACUCUUCAAGACCCAAAAAAUAAUAAUUAAUAAAUCUAGUGUUUUUUUUUUUAUAUUUGCUAUAAUUUUUUAAAGUUUGUUUUGUGGUCACGAAGAAGAAUAUUAUUUUGACUUGGAUAAAUUAUGAGGAAAAAAUUAAAAGAUAUUUUGAAAAAACUAAUUGUUUUAUGUAUUUGUUGUAGCUUAUUUUUUUUGGAAGACAUGAAGCAGGUAUAUUAUUUUGAAUUGGAUCAAUUAUGGAGAAAAAUAUACAAAGAAUUUUUUAAAAAUAUCUAAAGUUACAACAAAACAUAUUUCGAUAAUUUCAAAAAUAUUGCUGCACAUACUUAUAUUCCAUUUAGACAAAAAGAAAAUCAAUCUUGUAAGAAUCAAAGUAAUUUUUUUAAUACCGUAUUAGCUUUCUUUAAUUUUCAUUUCAUGAAAUUUGAAUAGUUUUCUUUAUUUUUACCAUAACAUUAAUUUACAGAAAGGAAGGUGCAAAAAAAAAAAAAAAUUACUUAAAAAGUUUUUAUAGAUUUUUCUCAUAAUUUAUUUAAACCAAAAUAAUAUAUCUUCUUCAUGACCUUAAAAAAUUAAAAAGAAAAAGCUAUAGCAAAUAAAAAAAUUACUAGUUUUUUUGAAUUUUUUAAAUUAUGGGAAAAAAUCUAAUAGAGAUGGGGAAUUUAUUUCAUCUAAUAAGAAAAUGAAACAUAAUAACAUUUAAAAAAAGAAAAAAAAAGAAAGGGUUGCUAGUUUCAAGGUAUGAGCGAGCCAAAAAGGUGAAUGAAAUGAUAUUUUUAGACAAAAAAGAUGAUUAGAAAGAUAUUUUUGUGGAUGAAGGGUUUUUUAGACCUUUUCGCAUAGUUCAGGGUAUUUUGGUCCUAUUCCGUUUGUUUUUUAAUGGGUCUUUGAAUAUUCAUUAUGUCAUUUAGGAUUCUUCUCAGAUAUCAAACUACAUCAACUCAUAAUUGAAGCCCACAAGAAAAUCAAGAAAAAUAACAUAUGAAAAUUAGAAUUUCAUGAAUCAAAUCUAAAAAAGAAAUUGAAGAGGAAUUCAGAAGGACAACAAAAAAUUACCUCAAAGUUGCAGCGUACUUGGAGAAGAUUGAAGAUGAAAAUGAGUAUUGGGAGAAGCUUGAAGACGAACAAUUGUGGAAAACAAAAUAUCUAUGAACAAUAAAAAACAAAGGGUGAUUUUGAAAUUUGAGUUCACUUGAGUAUCCAAAAUUCAGAAUCAAAUUUCGCAUUGAAGAACAAAAAAAACACUCUCAUAUC
rnacentral:lncRNA from 1 species